rnacentral:rRNA from 1 species
UCAUUGUAGCAAUACAAGGCAUACGGCUCAGUAACGCGUAGUCAACCUAACCUAUGGACGGGAAUAACCUCGGGAAACUGAGAAUAAUGCCCGAUAGAACAUUAUACCUGGAAUGGUUUAUGUUCCAAAUGAUUUAUCGCCGUAGGAUGGGACUGCGGCCUAUCAGUUUGUUGGUGAGGUAAUGGCCCACCAAGACUAUUACAGGUACGGGCUCUGAGAGGAGUAGCCCGGAGAUGGGUACUGAGACACGGACCCAGGCCCUAUGGGGCGCAGCAGGCGAGAAAACUUUGCAAUGUGCGAAAGCACGACAAGGUUAAUCCGAGUGAUUUCUGCUAAAGAAAUCUUUUGUUAGUCCUAGAAACACUAACGAAUAAGGGGUGGGCAAGUUCUGGUGUCAGCCGCCGCGGUAAAACCAGCACCUCAAGUGGUCAGGAUGAUUAUUGGGCCUAAAGCAUCCGUAGCCGGCUCUGUAAGUUUUCGGUUAAAUCUGUACGCUUAACGUACAGGCCGCCGGGAAUACUGCAAAGCUAGGGAGUGGGAGAAGUAGACGGUACUCGGUAGGAAGUGGUAAAAUGCUUUGAUCUAUCGAUGACCACCUGUGGCGAAGGCGGUCUACUAGAACACGUCCGACGGUGAGGGAUGAAAGCUGGGGGAGCAAACCGGAUUAGAUACCCGGGUAGUCCCAGCUGUAAACUAUGCAAACUCAGUGAUGCAUUGGCUUGUGGCCAAUGCAGUGCUGCAGGGAAGCCGUUAAGUUUGCCGCCUGGGAAGUACGUACGCAAGUAUGAAACUUAAAGGAAUUGGCGGGGGAACACCACAAGGGGUGAAGCCUGCGGUUCAAUUGGAUUCAACGCCGGG